rnacentral:rRNA from 1 species
GAUGAACGCUGGCGGCGUGCCUAAUACAUGCAAGUCGAGCGAACGGACGAGAAGCUUGCUUCUCUGAUGUUAACGGCGGACGGGUGAGUAACACGUGGAUAACCUACCUAUAAGACUGGGAUAACUUCGGGAAACCGUAGCUAAUACCGGCUAAUAUUUUGAACCGCAUGGUUCAAAAGUGAAAGACGGUCUUGCUGUCACUGAUAGAUGGAUCCGCGCUGCAUUAGGUAGUUGGUAAGGUAACGGCUUACCAAGGCAACGAUGCAUAGCCGGCCUGAGAGGGUGACCGGCCACACUGGAACUGAGACACGGUCCAGACUCCUACGGGAGGCAGCAGUGGGGAAUCUUCCGCAAUGGGCGAAAGCCUGACGGAGCAACGCCGCGUGAGGGAUGAAGGUCUUCGGAUCGUAAAACUCUGUUAUUAGGGAAGAACAUAUGUGGAAGUAACUGUGCACAUAUUGACGGUACCUAAUCAGAAAGCCACGGCUAACUACGUG